CCUACGGGAGGCAGCAGUGAGGAAUAUUGGUCAAUGGCCGAGAGGCUGAACCAGCCAAGCCGCGUGAGGGAAGAAUGUCCCAUGGAUUGUAAACUUCUUUUGUCAGGGAGCAAAGUCACCCUCGUGAGCGUGCCCGAGGGUACUUGAAGAAAAAGCAUCGGCUAACUCCGUGCCAGCAGCCGCGGUAAUACGGAGGAUGCGAGUGUUAUCCGGAUUUAUUGGGGUUAAAGGGUGCGUAGGCGGGCUUUCAAGUCAGCGGUAAAAGCGUGGGGCUCAACUCCGGCCAGCCGUUGAAACUGGUGGUCUUGAGUGGGCGAGAGGUAUGCGGAAUGCGUGGUGUAGCGGUGAAAUGCUUAGAUAUCGCGCAGAACUCCGAUUGCGAAGGCAGCAUACCGGCGGCCAACUGACGCUGAGGCACGAAAGCGUGGGUAUCGAACAGGAUUAGAUACCCGGGUAGUC
rnacentral:rRNA from 1 species